AUGGCUCAGGACAACGCUGGCGGCGUGCCUAAUACAUGCAAGUCGAACGGUCCUUUCUAUGGAAGCUUGCUUCCACUGAGAAGAUAGUGGCGAACGGGUGAGUAACACGUGGGUAACCUGCCCAUAAGAGGGGGAUAACAUCCGGAAACGGGUGCUAAUACCGCAUAGUUUUCUUGAUCGCAUGAUUGAGAAAGGAAAGACGGCCUUUGUGCUGUCGCUUAUGGGUGGACCCGCGGCGUAUUAGUUAGUUGGUGAGGUAACGGCUCACCAAGACGAUGAUACGUAGCCGACCUGAGAGGGUGAUCGGCCACAUUGGGACUGAGACACGGCCCAAACUCCUACGGGAGGCAGCAGUAGGGAAUCUUCCGCAAUGGACGAAAGUCUGACGGAGCAACGCCGCGUGAGUGAAGAAAGGUUUUCGGAUCGUAAAACUCUGUUGUCAGAGAAGAACAAGUUGGAGAGUAACUGCUCCAGCCUUGACGGUAUCUGACCAGAAAGCCACGGCUAACUACGUGCCAGCCGCUGC
rnacentral:rRNA from 1 species